GGUUGCCUCUUCCCUUUACCACCUUAACAUAUACUUUGCUGUCGAAACAUGAUUCCUUACUUAGUCAUCAUUUGGCACCUAUAAAUUUAUGUCUCUGCUUGCAUGUCUUAUAUAUAUGCAUUUAUGUGUAGGUUCACAAAGUUUUAGUCAUUUCCAUGAUGAUCUUAUGUGCUUCUUAAACUGCUUGGAUCUGUAGGGAAAUGUACCAGGCAAUGCAGGCAUACUGGUUUUGUUCUUGCCAUUGUAAAAACAAAUAAGAGAGAUAUACAAGCUGGAAACUCUGUGCACUGCUUCUUCUAUGGCGUUUUCUUGGAUAUUCCAGAAGAAACGUUAGAUUUGAAACUGCAGCGAUAAUAACUAAUUCUUUUCUC